GGUUUAUAGAAUCUCGAGCAGA
rnacentral:siRNA from 1 species